ACGCUCGACACCUACGGGAGGCAGCAGUGGGGAAUAUUGGGCAAUGGGCGCAAGCCUGACCCAGCAACGCCGCGUGAAGGAAGAAGGCCCUCGGGUUGUAAACUUUCUUUUCUUAGGGACGAAGCAAGUGACGGUACCUAAGGAAUAAAGCCACGGCUAACUACGUGUCAGCAGCCGCGGUAAUCUGAGCGGGCUGGCAAGGC
rnacentral:rRNA from 1 species